CAGCAGCCGCGGGAAUACGAAGGGGGCUAGCGUUGUUCGGAUUUACUGGGCGUAAAGGGCGCGUAGGCGGGCUGAUAAGUCAGGGGUGAAAUCCCAAGGCUCAACCUUGGAACUGCCUUUGAUACUGUUUGUCUUGAGUUCGAGAGAGGUAAGUGGAACUGCGAGUGUAGAGGUGAAAUUCGUAGAUAUUCGCAAGAACACCAGUGGCGAAGGCGGCUUACUGGCUCGAAACUGACGCUGAGGCGCGAAAGCGUGGGAGCAAACAGGAUUAGAUACCCCCGUAGUCCCUGUCUCUUAUACC
rnacentral:rRNA from 1 species